rnacentral:misc_RNA from 1 species
AAAAACUUCCUCGUUCCUAGUGUGGCCAGUUGCUGUUAGGCAGGUAGGUACAUAGAAACACACAAAGGAAAAUGCAAAACCCAACUGACGGUGAUACAAUGAUAAAGGAGGACGACAGCAAGACCCCUUUUUCCGGUUCGCCAACCGCGGAUGACUCGGAAGUCGGGGGUGCUGCUCAGUCGGUGGAACUUGGGGGUGGUGCUGGUGGGUCCGGAGGCGGUGGUAGUAGUGGUGGUGGUGGUGUUGUGAGUAGUAGAGUUAAGGGACCUUGGUCGCCUGAUGAAGACGCGAUUUUGACUCAGCUGGUGAGUAAGUUUGGUGCUAGGAAUUGGAGCUUGAUCGCCCGGGGAAUUCCUGGUCGUUCUGGGAAAUCUUGUAGGCUUAGAUGGUGUAACCAGCUAGACCCUUGCCUCAAGCGAAAGCCUUUCACAGAUGAGGAGGAUCGUAUUAUAAUUUCAGCCCAUGCCAUCCAUGGAAACAAAUGGGCAGCAAUUGCAAGGCUUCUGUCUGGUAGAACAGAUAAUGCAAUCAAGAAUCACUGGAAUUCUACUCUAAGGCGCAGAUGUAUGGAUCACAGGAGGUUUAAACCAGGACCUAAUUAUGCAAUGGAAGAUGCAAGCCGUGAUAAAACUAAGGCAUCAUCAGAAGAAACCCUGUCAGUUGGUGAUGUCAAUUCUUUCAAGCUCUCUGAAGGAACAGAUGGCACAAUAGAUGACCAACCUAGCCAGCAAGAAGAUAAAGCUCAAAAACACAAGGUUCCUCAAACAAAUGAUUUUGAUUUUGCUGCUGAACCACAAGUACAUCAUGCCCUUCCUCGUCCUAAGGCACGUGUUAGUGCAUUUAGUGUUUAUAAUCCUCCUAGUGGCCCAAAAAUUGGCUCUGCGUAUUCAAGGACAAUUCCAACUCAGGGUCCUCUGGUUCAAUCUUCAAAAACAGACUUUGGAGUCUGCAAAUUCCUUGAAGAUAUUCAUGUUGAUCCUAUGGUUCCUUUGCGAUGUGGGUAUGGUUGUUGUGCAACACCAAGUAGGGGCCAUCUUCAGAGCUCAUUGUUGGGGCCCGAGUUUGUUGAAUAUGAGGAGCUUCCCGCUUUCUCAAGUCAAGAAUUAAUUUCAAUUGCUACAGAUUUGAACAAUAUUGCAUGGAUCAAGAGAAGCCUUGAGAAUAAUAGCAGUGUGAUAUCAGGCAAUAAUGCAAGCUUUAGAAUGUCUCAAGGGGCUUCUGUUGGCUCACAAAUGGGAAUUCCAGAACAGAACUUAAGAAACGGGCAUAUGCCCUAUGAGGAGGGAACAAACAAAUUGAUGGGCAUGAUGACAGAUACCUUAUCAGCAUCUGCCUGUGCAACCUUUUGCAAUGCAAGCUGAAGUGGAGAGCUUGACCUGAACUUAUAGAUGCUUCUUUUGUGAUUUGCUUUUUGGGGAAAUAGUAUAGAAUCAAAAUUACAAUAUUGUUACAAUUGUCUGCAUGGUUAUAGAAGUUUAAGAAUAUGAUUUUGUGAAGAGGCUCCUUAACUGUCAGCAAAGAGAUGAUGCCAUUUUGUUAACAUUCUGCUUCUAAAAAAUGUAUUAAGAAUUGAUUAGUUAAGGAUUGAAAUUUAUUUAUGCAAGUUAUUCCAGCGCUCACAUUUUAAGUCCUG